rnacentral:rRNA from 1 species
UACAGGGGGGGCAAGCGUUGUUCGGAAUUACUGGGCGUAAAGGGCUCGUAGGCGGCCAACUAAGUCACACGUGAAAUCCCCAAGCUUAACCUGGGAACUGCGUGUGAUACUGGAUGGCUUGAAUUCGGGAGAGGGAUGCAGAAUUCCAGGUGUAGCGGUGAAAUGCGUAGAUAUCUGGAGGAACACCGGUGGCGAAGGCAGCCCCCUGGGCUAACACUGACGCUCAUGCACGAAAGCGUGGGGAGCAAACAGG